GAUGAACGCUGGCGGCGUGCCUAAUACAUGCAAGUCGAGCGAACAGACGAGGAGCUUGCUCCUCUGACGUUAGCGGCGGACGGGUGAGUAACACGUGGAUAACCUACCUAUAAGACUGGGAUAACUUCGGGAAACCGGAGCUAAUACCGGAUAAUAUAUUGAACCGCAUGGUUCAAUAGUGAAAGACGGUUUUGCUGUCACUUAUAGAUGGAUCCGCGCCGCAUUAGCUAGUUGGUAAGGUAACGGCUUACCAAGGCAACGAUGCGUAGCCGACCUGAGAGGGUGAUCGGCCACACUGGAACUGAGAAAGGGUCCAGACUCCGACGGUGGGCAGCAGUAGGGAAUCUUCCGCAAUGGGCGAAAGCGUGACGGAGCAACGCCGCGUGAGUGAUGAAGGUCUUAGGAUCGUAAAACGCUGUUAUUAGGGAAGAACAAAUGUGUAAGUAACUAUGCACGUCUUGACGGUACCUAAUCAGAAAGCCACGGCUAACUACGUG
rnacentral:rRNA from 1 species